CCUACGGGAGGCAGCAGUAGGGAAUCUUCCACAAUGGGCGAAAGCCUGAUGGAGCAACGCCGCGUGGGUGAAGAAGGUCUUCGGAUCGUAAAACCCUGUUGUUAGAGAAGAAAGUGCGUGAGAGUAACUGUUCACGUCUCGACGGUAUCUACCCAGAAAGCCACGGCUAACUACGUGCCAGCAGCCGCGGUAAUACGUAGGUGGCAAGCGUUAUCCGGAUGUAUUGGGCGUAAAGGGAACGCAGGCGGUCUUUUAAGUCUGAUGUGAAAGCCUUCGGCUUAACCGGAGUAGUGCAUUGGAAACUGGGAGACUUGAGUGCAGAAGAGGAGAGUGGAACUCCAUGUGUAGCGGUGAAAUGCGUAGAUAUAUGGAAGAACACCAGUGGCGAAGGCGGCUCUCUGGUCUGUAACUGACGCUGAGGUCCGAAAGCGUGGGUAGCAAACAGGAUUAGAUACCCUGGUAGUC
rnacentral:rRNA from 1 species